rnacentral:misc_RNA from 1 species
GAUGAAGAACGCAGCGAAAUGCGAUAAGUAAUGUGAAUUGCAGAAUUCAGUGAAUCAUCGAAUCUUUGAACGCACCUUGCACCCUUUGGCAUUCCGAAGGGUAUGCUCGUUUGAGUGUCAUUGUACUCUCACACUCCCGAUCUUUGGAUUGGGAGCGGUGGACUUGGGUUUGCUGCUUACCGUGGCUCACCUCAAAUGGAUUAGUGCAACUCUUGGUUGACCAUAGUACGGCGUGAUAAGUGUCUUCGCCGGCACCUCACUGGGUGGGCCGAUCGGGAGCUCUGUGCUUCAAACCGUCUUCGGACAACAACUGACAACUUGACCUCAAAUCGAGUAGGACCACCCGCUGAACUUAAGCAUAUCAAUAAGCGGAGGA